UACGGGGGGGGCAAGCGUUGUUCGGAAUUACUGGGCGUAAAGGGCUCGUAGGCGGCCAACUAAGUCAGACGUGAAAUCCCUCGGCUUAACCGGGGAACUGCGUCUGAUACUGGAUGGCUUGAGUUUGGGAGAGGGAUGCGGAAUUCCAGGUGUAGCGGUGAAAUGCGUAGAUAUCUGGAGGAACACCGGUGGCGAAGGCGGCAUCCUGGACCAACACUGACGCUGAGACGCGAAAGCGUGGGGAGCAAACAGG
rnacentral:rRNA from 1 species